rnacentral:rRNA from 1 species
UGGCGACCGGCGCACGGGUGAGUAACGCGUAUCCAACCUGCCCUCUACUAUGGGACAGCCCGUCGAAAGGCGGAUUAAUACCGUAUGUUGUCAUGUUGAUGCAUAUUUUCAUGACCAAAGGCUUCGGCCGGUAAAGGAUGGGGAUGCGUCUGAUUAGCUUGCCGGCGGGGUAACGGCCCACCGGGGCGACGAUCAGUAGGGGUUCUGAGAGGAAGGUCCCCCACAUUGGAACUGAGACACGGUCCAAACUCCUACGGAAGGCAGCAG